rnacentral:tRNA from 1 species
AAAAUCUUAAGUUAAAAAAACUAAUAACCUUCAAAGUUAUAAUUAUUUCAAUAUUUA